CCCUGAGUGGCUCAGUUAGUUAAGCAUCUGACUUUAGCUCAGGUCAUGAUCUAGCAAUUUGUGGGUUCAAGCCCCACAUCAGGCU
rnacentral:tRNA from 1 species